GUUUGGAAGAACAACGAGAGGCACAAAGCAGUGCGUAACGAUCGGUCAAAUGAAACAAAUUACUUCCGAAUGGACACGUGAUCGAUAGUCCAUUGCCGUGAGUUGGUUAAGAAGGAUGAGUAUCUUUAGUUGAGAUUGACCUGAACGAGGACGGACCAUAGUAGUGGAAUCAAGGGAGAAAAUGAGAAUCAAAAGAAAAGACGCCCAGGAGAAAAUGAUAAUAAACGACGGCCAGCGGUUACAAGUUGUCGAAGAAGAAGAGCGAGAAGGGCGGAGAGAACGAUAUACAAUAAGAAAGAAAAAAAGGGAAAAAAAAAAAGUACGAUCGCAUAUGUCUAGUGAAGAAAGAGGCAGCCAGGAAGAAGAAAGAAAGAAAGAAAAAAUAAAUUAAAAAAAAAAGGAAAAGGUAAAAAAAUUGUGGCAAUGACCGACUGUGACCCCCACGUGCGAACGCCUCCAGCGAACUAGGACGUACCUUCCUUUUUAUUUUUUUCUUACGUAUUCCCAUUUCUUCUUCGUUUCUCGUGCGUGUGUAGAUUCUUUAAACUUUUGUCCUUUUUUUUCUGGUUUUUCUUAUUGGCAUUUGGUUAAUAAGCUUGGCAUUCACUCAGUGCUUUAUUGACUUGGCUAUGUAAUGGCCGGCCUUUGCGAUUCUUUUGACUUGGAAGAAAUAAAGGAAUUAUACAUGCAAACAACGCGACUCGGUCAGGUGUCAAAUGAAUCACGUUCCUUAUUUUUCGUGAAAAAAUAAAAAAAAAAGUGCAAUACUAUACUUCGUUCCAGCCUUUUCCUGAUUGUCAAGACCCCGGAAAUGGAUUUGACCUUUGCCGUGUGUGUGAAGGCCUACACACACACACCUUUGUAUGGCUAUAUAUAUACAUAUACAAGAACAACUCUAUAUAUGAAAAUGGAAUACGAACUUUGUUUAACACUAAGAUAUGUGCAUCGAAGAUGUGGAGGUUCGUUCGUCCUUUGAAGAUUGAAAAUGAAAGAAAGAAAGGAAAGCCUUUUGUUGAACUCUGAUUGUCUUCUUCUUGUGUGUCAUGUCUUUCACCGCCCAUAGUGUCUGUGCAUCUCGCCGCCAAAUGCCACAAUGUGUCGAACGCCCGCUGCUCUUAUUUCCCUAUCACCCGCUUUUUGAUGUGUAUACACCAAUUGCACACGUAGAUCCUUCCUAUAUACAUAAAUCUACUGUACAUAUUCUCUUCGUCCCCAAAAUGAAAGUGUCUUUUCUCUCUUUCUUUGUGUGUGUGUGUGUGUGUUCGGUGUGCCCAUGGGAUCGACAAAGAUCGGUGGUGCUUUAUACAAAGAUAGCACUGUUUAAAAUUCCUUCUUUCUAUUUAAAAAAAAAUUCGGUUGAAGCCGAGGGAAAGGUUGAAACCUUUUAUGCGUGUACAUCUAUAUAGCGAGAAAGCAAAGAGAAAAUGUCCAAUGUUCAUGUCGAGGAAAUGAAAGUGAAAUGGAGACAAUCACUUGGUCGCCUCUUCUUCGUCCCUCUCUUUUAUUUUUCUUUUAAUUCUUUCUCGGAUUUCACCUUGUCCUUAUCUCCAUUGCAACUCCACGCUAGUAACGGUGCCUCAAGACUAAAAGCGAGCAGCAUAUGUCUACAUACGUGGAAAUGAAGAAGAAGAAGAAGAAGAAAAAAAAAAAAAUGUCAUCAAAUGCAGUCAGAAUGACUCUCCCCCAAUCCUCCCCCCUCCAUCUUCACCCCCUCUUUUUUAUUUUUAAUCUUUCCAUAUUUCUUGAGUUUGGGUUCACCUAUACAUGUACACGUACAUAUAUUUAUAUAGAGUGAAAUGGGGCUGCUCUCUAUAUAGUUUUUUAUUUUUAUUUUUUAUUUUUUAAUUUAAAAACUACCUACUAUUCUUAUUCUAACCUCGUGCAUGUGAUUGUUCUCAUGUCUUUCUCUUUUCUUUUUUUUUAUAGCCGUUUGCUCCUGUCUGUGUGUUCCGUCUAGUUUUCACUUUCUCGCUUUCCAGCAGUUCAACCAUUUCUCAGGUUGGAUUUAAUGUUGGGGGGGGCUGUUGGUAUACUGUAAAAAAAGAAAGAAACAAAUUAAAAGUAAAGUAAAACGAA